GAUGAACGCUAGCGGCGUGCCUAAUACAUGCAAGUCGAGCGAUGAAGCUUCUUCGGAAGUGGAUUAGCGGCAGACGGGUGAGUAACACGUGGGUAACCUGCCUCAUAGAGGGGAAUAGCCUUCCGAAAGGAAGAUUAAUACCGCAUAAGAUUGUAAUAUCGCAUGAUAUAGCAAUUAAAGGAGUAAUCCGCUAUGAGAUGGACCCGCGUCGCAUUAGCUAGUUGGUGAGGUAACGGCUCACCAAGGCGACGAUGCGUAGCCGACCUGAGAGGGUGAUCGGCCACAUUGGGACUGAGACACGGCCCAGACUCCUACGGGAGGCAGCAGUGGGGAAUAUUGCACAAUGGGGGAAACCCUGAUGCAGCAACGCCGCGUGAGUGAUGACGGUCUUCGGAUUGUAAAGCUCUGUCUUUAGGGACGAUAAUGACGGUACCUAAGGAGGAAGCCACGGCUAACUACGUGCCAGCCGCCGCCGUAA
rnacentral:rRNA from 1 species